rnacentral:rRNA from 1 species
GAUGAACGCUGGCUACAGGCUUAACACAUGCAAGUCGAGGGGAAACGACGGGGAAGCUUGCUUCCCCGGGCGUCGACCGGCGCACGGGUGAGUAACGCGUAUCCAACCUGCCUCUGACUGAGGGAUAACCCGUCGAAAGUCGGCCUAAUACCUCAUGGCAUCGUCUGCGGGCAUCCAACGACGAUUAAAGAUUUCAUCGGUCAGAGAUGGGGAUGCGUCUGAUUAGCUUGUUGGCGGGGUAACGGCCCACCAAGGCGACGAUCAGUAGGGGUUCUGAGAGGAAGGUCCCCCUCAUUGGAACUGAGACACGGUCCAAACUCCUACGGGAGGCAGCAGUGAGGAAUAUUGGUCAAUGGGCGAGAGCCUGAACCAGCCAAGUAGCGUGCAGGAUGACGGCCCUAUGGGUUGUAAACUGCUUUUAUGCGGGGAUAAAGUGAGGGACGUGUCCUUCAUUGCAGGUACCGCAUGAAUAAGGACCGGCUAAUUCCGUG